rnacentral:rRNA from 1 species
UACGGAGGGGGCUAGCGUUGUUCGGAAUUACUGGGCGUAAAGCGCACGUAGGCGGCUUUGUAAGUUAGAGGUGAAAGCCCGGAGCUCAACUCCGGAAUUGCCUUUAAGACUGCAUCGCUUGAAUCAUGGAGAGGUGAGUGGAAUUCCGAGUGUAGAGGUGAAAUUCGUAGAUAUUCGGAGGAACACCAGUGGCGAAGGCGGGUCACUGGACAUGUAUUGACGCUGAGGUGCGAAGGCGUGGGGAGCAAACAGG